GGCUCGUUAGCUCAGCGGUGAGAGCGCCCAUUUAAAUUGCUAAUAGUGGUGGUCGGAGGUUCAAAUCCUUCACGAGUCG
rfam:Operophtera brumata OBRT01_Sc00291, whole genome shotgun sequence.